AAAACAAAGGAAAUAUUUUGCAGCUACAAGCCCUGAUCGCGCACAUGGCUGUCUGUCCCCAAAAGAGGUGACCCAUUCAGUUAUCAAGUUGGCAACAAUUAUACUCAAGGUAAAAGAAAAUGACCUCUUUCUAUUUAGCAGUAUUUUUGCUAUUUAGUGUUAAGGGAUAUUGAGUUUCGUAUAUAAUGUUCACCUUAGCAAGUGGUAAUUAUGUAAAUGUCUAUUUUAUUCAUCCAUGGCUCUUGUUCUAAAAAGAAAUCACCGAUAAAAGAAAAGUAGGCAUUUAAACCAUUUAUUUACUCCAAGAUGACAAUUCAAUGGCCAGUCAAGAUGUGGUAUGAACGGAGAUGAACUUAACCACAUAUUUGAGAGAUCAUCUUAAUAAAAGCUCUCCAUGAAGAAAAUAAGUUUGCA
rnacentral:lncRNA from 1 species